GAUGAUGAACAAAAAGAUAUGGAAACA
rnacentral:piRNA from 1 species